AGCGAACGCUGGCGGUAGGCCUAACACAUGCAAGUCGAACGGCAGCACAGUAAGAUCUUGCUCUUACGGGUGGCGAGUGGCGGACGGGUGAGGAAUACAUCGGAAUCUACUUUUUCGUGGGGGAUAACGUAGGGAAACUUACGCUAAUACCGCAUACGACCUACGGGUGAAAGCAGGGGAUCUUCGGACCUUGCGCGAUUGAAUGAGCCGAUGUCGGAUUAGCUAGUUGGCGGGGUAAAGGCCCACCAAGGCGACGAUCCGUAGCUGGUCUGAGAGGAUGAUCAGCCACACUGGAACUGAGACACGGUCCAGACUCCUACGGGAGGCAGCAGUGGGGAAUAUUGGACAAUGGGCGCAAGCCUGAUCCAGCAAUACCGCGUGGGUGAAGAAGGCCUUCGGGUUGUAAAGCCCUUUUGUUGGGAAAGAAAAGCAGCAGGUUAAUACCUCGCUGUUCUGACGGUACCCAAAGAAUAAGCACCGGCUAACUUCGUG
rnacentral:rRNA from 1 species